rnacentral:rRNA from 1 species
UACGGGGGGAGCAAGCGUUGUUCGGAUUUACUGGGCGUAAAGGGCGCGUAGGCGGUCAGCACAAGUCAGUUGUGAAAUCUCCGAGCUUAACUCGGAAAGGUCAACUGAAACUGUGCGACUAGAGUGCGGAAGGGGGCAACUGGAAUUCUUGGUGUAGCGGUGAAAUGCGUAGAUAUCAAGAGGAACACCUGCGGCGAAGGCGGGUUGCUGGGCCGACACUGACGCUGAAGCGCGAAAGCUAGGGGAGCGAACGGG